rnacentral:misc_RNA from 1 species
CAACCCUCAAGCCCUAGGGCUUGGUGUUGGGGAUCGGCGAUAGUCGCCGUCCCCCAAAUCUAGUGGCGGUCUCGCUGUAGCCUCCAUUGCGUAGUAGCUAACACCUCGCAACUGGAACGCGGCGCGGCCAAGCCGUUAAACCCCCCAACUUCUGAA